UACAGAGGUCUCAAGCGUUGUUCGGAAUCACUGGGCGUAAAGGGUGCGUAGGCCGCACGGUAAGUCAGAUGUGAAAUCUCAGGGCUCAACUCUGAAAUUGCAUCCGAUACUGCCGUGCUUGAGGACUGGAGAGGAGUCUGGAAUUCAUGGUGGAGCAGUGAAAUGCGUAGAUAUCAUGAGGAACGCUAGUGGCGUAGGCGAGACUCUGGACAGUUCCGUGACGCUGAGGCACGAAGGCCAGGGGAGCAAACGGG
rnacentral:rRNA from 1 species